CACGUAGGGGGCGAGCGUUAUCCGGAUUCAUUGGGCGUAAAGCGCGCGCAGGCGGCUCGUCAAGCGGGACCUCUAAUCCCGGGGCUCAACCCCGGGCCGGGUCCCGAACUGGCGGGCUCGGGUGCGGUAGAGGCAGGCGGAAUUCCCGGUGUAGCGGUGGAAUGCGCAGAUAUCGGGAAGAACACCGAUGGCGAAGGCAGCCUGCUGGGCCGCCACCGACGCUGAGGCGCGAAAGCCGGGGGAGCGAACAGGAUUAGAUACCCCGGUAGUCCCUGAGCGGGCU
rnacentral:rRNA from 1 species